AUGCCGCCCACGUUAUUUCGAGUUGCGAGUAUACACUAGACAUUACGGUAACAGCGCGACAGAAGUGAUUUCAGAAUAAAAGCGAUGUUCAUUCAAUUAAUCAGUCAGAUGGUAGGCCAGCCUAUCAUUAACAUACAUACAGAAAGAAAAGAAAAUGAAUAAAUAAUAAAUAUCAUACAAUAAACUAUAUGUCAUACAUAAUUUAUUAUUGAUAUUAUUUCCACACACUGGUUUCACUUCAGAUUGAUGGUAGACCACCCGUCGGAGUCACUCAAACUAUUCUAUUCUAUAUAUACUGAGCUCUCUCCCUAAAUGUUUCAAUUUUCGCUUUGAUGUUUAGCCUACUCUUAUUUCAACACAGACCACCAUUACUGCUGGACGAUUUGACUGCAAAUCAGUAAGACUAUUUCAAACUUUUUCCUUAUUUUUUUUAUUCAAUUUUUUUAACACGGUUUUCAACCGUUCUGAAGUCAUUCAACCGUCAUGAAUUGCAUAAACAAAAUAAACACCUUUGCUCAAUUUGAGCACAUCAUAAUAUAGCUCAGUACAACCUCCGUUAGCUGAUAGCUCCGUUAUUUGGACAAGCAGUUGCGUGAUGCACACGCCUACUAUCAACCUCAAGUGAAAAUGUUUCAUUUUCAUUGUAAUCUGAAUUAAGACCCCGACGACAUAGUUCAAAUAUAACGUUCUAUUGGGCUUUAAUUUUGAAAUUCUACAUCAGAAAGUCCUGGGAGCGGUCUACUACUAAUCGGAAGUGAAGCUGGUCUGUAGGAAAAAAUAACUUUCCUAAUAAUAUCAAUAUUGAAGAAUGUAGCUCAUGUAUUACAUUUUGAUUAGAAUUUAAUAUGUAUUCAUUUAGUUGAAUAGGCCUAUUUCAGUUUAUACUGUAGUGUUACUGCUUUUAAUGUGAAAACACCGUAAUGCCUAGUGUAAACACAUAACUCAAAACAAUAUGGGUGUUAGUUUGUCCAUGUUUCUUGAAGUGGAGGCUGGCUUGACUGCAGUUAUUUGUCGAGUAACAGACGUACUCACAGGCACUGCUCUAUUUGCUACUUAAUAUUGUUACUGCUAAUAAGAGGGCGGCAUUACAACACAUCUUACCACAACCAGCACCGGCCGCUAUUAUUAUCAAUGUUACCGCCGUCGAUGCCCCCAGCGUCAACUACAAGCACCAGCAGGGGGAGCGCUUGUGCCUUUCACCCUGCAUUAUGAAAUCAUUUCAUCAUAUGAACAGAACAUCCAGACCUGGUGGGACUGCAUCGUGGUGACGGCAGCACUUCUCCAUGUAAUUCAGGCCUGUGUUACUACACAUGUCAAGGGACCACUUGGACCCAUAGAAGUGGCAGCAGUGAACCCAGGGUCAGUGUUCACAGACACAUUGUUGCCCCUGUGUUUGCGUGAUGGACAUCCUCUGGGCCUGCCUCGUCUCCUGCGCGACUGGCACAAGUUGUCAGCGUUCUAUACAUUCUGUCCACAUCCAGCAGAUCCAGAUUGGUUUUGGCCUAGACCAAGUUGUGGCAGGUCGCAACACUUUCAACAUCCAUCGUAGCAUUCUCCCAAACAGUCCAGUGUGCUGCUUGUAGAAUGAAAAACUAUAAACCAAA